UGGCGGACGGGUGAGGAAUACAUGGGAAUCUGCCCUGUCGUGGGGGAUAACGUAGGGAAACUUACGCUAAUACCGCAUACGACCGGAAGGUGAAAGCGGCGGACUCGCAAGAGCGUCGCGCGACUGGAUGAGCCCAUGUCGGAUUAGCUAGUUGGCGGGGUAAAGGCCCACCAAGGCGACGAUCCGUAGCUGGUCUGAGAGGAUGAUCAGCCACACUGGAACUGAGACACGGUCCAGACUCCUACGGGAGGCAGCAGUGGGGAAUAUUGGACAAUGGGCGCAAGCCUGAUCCAGCCAUGCCGCGUGAGUGAAGAAGGCCUUCGGGUUGUAAAGCUCUUUUGUCCGGAAAGAAAAGCGCUCGGUUAAUACCCGGGUGUUAUGACGGUACCGGAAGAAUAAGCACCGGCUAACUUCGUGCCAGCAGCCGCGGUAAUACGAAGGGUGCAAGCGUUACUCGGAAUUACUGGGCGUAAAGCGUGCGUAGGUGGUUCGUUAAGUCUGAUGUGAAAGCCCUGGGCUCAACCUGGGAAUGGCAUUGGAAACUGGCGACCUAAAGUGCGGUAGAGGGUAGUGGAAUUCCCGGUGUAGCAGUGAAAUGCGUAGAGAUCGGGAGGAACAUCCGUGGCGAAGGCGACUACCUGGACCAGCACUGACACUGAGGCACGAAA
rnacentral:rRNA from 1 species